AUACAAGAGAGGAUGGACCUGGCUACGAGAGAAGAGCAUCUCCUCUUGAGUGGUCAUGAUUCGCUUCUUACCCAUUGUUCCCUUCAUAGAUUAGUGUUUUUUUAUUACUUUUUAUUCGUUUGUCCUUCAUACAUUAGUUACAUGGGUGCAAAGUCAAAGUGCUGGGGAAGAGCUCUCUCUCUCUCUCUCUCUCUCUCUCUCUCGGUUUUUAAAGGAUAAGAGGAUAUGAAGUUUCUGGGCGUAGGAAGCGUCAGCGCCGUGGAUUCUUGCUAGUUUUCGAGCAUGCUUGGGUCUCGGUCACGUGAAUUUCUUGGAACAAAGUGGAGAUUUUUUCUUGAUUGGAGUGGCCCAGUGCUUGUUUUAUCGGAGGCAGGAUUCCUAUUUGGUUGGAGGAGAGUGCCUUCUGAAUAAGGCCACAACAAACUGGAUCCAUCGAGAAGCUGGGUCUCAGGACUUUAAGAUCUGUGUUUGAAAUAUGAUACCAACAAUUCAACAAAAUGGUUCUAUAAAAGAAAAAAAAGAUCUACCUAAAACAACAACAGCCUUGUAAUAAUAACAACAACAGUUCAUAGAUGCAUUUCAUCCCCCCAAAAAAAGGUUCCAUGCGGUAAGAUUACUCUUUCAUUGGAUAUGCAUUGUACGAUAUACAAUAAAAGAAAUUCUUUGCCUUGGCGACAUGCAUGUUCAAUAUUGGAUAGGACUAUCUUGAGAGAACCUAAAAAUAUGAGCUUUGUACUUUUAAUAUACUUUUUGUUUAUGUUCUUUGGUUGGAAUAAGAGGGAAAUACCUGCAAUUAUGCAUUAUGCACACAAAAAGGUGUGUCUUUGAGCAUCAAGGCUAGCAACACUUUAGAACUCAUGAAAUCCGAAGUCCUUAUACCAUCAGCAAGAUCCACGUACAGCUUGGCCAGCCACUCGGUUUCCCUCAAGACAAAUAUAAGUACAUUUAGUUGUGCAAAGGUACGUAUGUUAAUUAAUCUGUACAUUCUACUAAUCUAUUUGACUCCUUUUGACUCUUUUUGAACUGGUGGCAUGCAAAUAUGUAUAGUGCAUGUUGGAUGGGACAAUAAGGAAUAACUUUCAUGGUUUUAAAUGAAGGAUAAAAUACCAAUAAAAAAUAAUAAUUAGUAUUAUAUAAAAAUAAAAUUUAAAUUGAGAGAUAGAGAUUGGAGGUGAAUGAGGUUGUUGGAGGGAGAGAUAGAGAUGGAGGCAGAAAUUAACUAUGUUAGAUAGAGAGAUUAGUUAGUUAGGACACAGGCAAGAGAAAUUUGGGGUGCUCAAAAGAUUUCAAUUUUUUUUUCAUAUAGGACUUUCAAAAAAAUUAUGUGCACAUUUUUCUUUCCAAAUCAACAAGCAAUUGUAUUAUAAUAUUUUUAAAAAAUUAAAUAAUAUUGCAUCCAUGGCUUAACAGCCCAGGGACCUCCAACGCUCUCCUUAGCAUAAUAUUUAUUUUUAAAAAAUGGUAAACUAUUAAUAUUUUAAUUAUCUAUUUUCAAAGUUAUCCCAACGAAAUAUAAAAAUAAAUAUAGAUAUCUAAGAAUAUAAAAUAAUAGAGUAAAAUAAUCUAAAAACAUGAAAUUGAUUGCGAUUCCAUCUUCUUCCUAAUACACUGUGAUAUUAAAAUUGAUCAAUGAUGUGGAUUUUCAGAUUGAGAGAUCCAUCAUUCAUUUUGUGAAGCAUUUAGGACCAAAUACUAUCAAGUAUAUUUUAGGCCCCCACAACCCCCCCACCCUCUCCUCUCUCUCUCUCUCUUAUAAAGAGAAAAAUAUAGAGCUUGAGAGAAUGAUAAAACAAGAGAUUAUAUAUGUAUAGACGCAUUAUGAUCAUCAUUUCACUUGUAUCAGAGCAUCACAGCUCUUGAGUAGGCUUCUAAGGAGUAUGAAACGGCACCUCAAUACUUCUCUUGAGGCUGUUGUCAGCACCUCUCUUCUAAGUACUUGCACUCGGGGGCGAUCCAGGGUUCAAACUCCGUUGGCACAUUACCUGCAUACUACAUGGAAAGCAAAAACACCUUUCUCUUAGGGCAUGUUUGUAUCCUUGUAGAAGGCAGUACUUAACAAGUAAUAAAUGUAGAAGGGCACCAAUCGAAGAGUAAUCUUAGAGAUUGUGGGCAGGCGCAAUCCUAAAAAUUGGAGAUUCAUGUUUUUGUAAGAAAAAGGGUCAUUUUUCAUAUAUAUCCUUAAAAAAUGAGCGUGUGUCUUUGUGCGCGCGUGUACGUACGUGUCCGUGCGUUCUUAUAAUAAAGUUAUCUAUCCAUAUAUGCCUAGGAUAAAACUUUCAGUGACACAUUAAAACUGCGUGGUGGAAGUAGAUGAAAUUAGACGCAUCAAAUGGCUGUGAAAAAAAGGACCUGAUGUUCAACUCUCCUUUAUUAUUUUUUUUCGAAAACACAGUCCUCUUCAUUUCGGUUCAGUUUAUUUUUUUUUUUUUUCCUUCUCCCAUCUUUUUCAGAUGUAGAUCGAGGAGAAGGGCAACACCAACAUCCAUGGAGUUGGUGGGGGGUGACAGAUAGAAAGUGAGCACGCAUAGUUUCGAGCAUCGACUCAUGCAAGAAAGCACCACGUGUGCUCACUCUCUUCUGUCAGCCUCCAUUCAGCCCAGUCUCCUUCAUAUAUAAAUAUAACUCAGACAACGCACGAACCUGUCCCCAAGCUGCAAAUAGAUCUCUGAGGAACUUCAAGAGGAGACAUGAUGUAGAUCUCUGAGGAACUUCAAGAGGAGACUACAUGGAGAAAGAUUUUGCGUGGUGAACAAGGGAAGGAUUGGAACGGUUUAUAUAGGAGGAGGUGAAGGGGUAUAUGACAUCCCUUCAUUUGAAAGGAAUCCAUGGA
rnacentral:lncRNA from 1 species